rnacentral:lncRNA from 1 species
ACGUUACUAGAAACUCUGCAGGAAGUCCUAGUCUCCUGCGAGCCACAGCAGCACAAGGCGAAUUACAGGAAAGGUAGAAAAAUGAGACUUCGAGAAGAAGCUGAGCUUUGGGUUUGAUCAGUGCUGCUCCGGGCAGCAAAGACGAAAGCCCCCCCCCCUUACCGCACAUUUUAUUCAGUACAUUGGGAGAAACAAAUGUAACAAAUGACUUGCAGAGAUUUCAGUACAUCCUGCUUAAAUAAGAUGUAACAAUCCAAGAACAAGGAGGAACUGAGUAGAUGUUUGUUCCUCCCAGGAUGUUUUCAGCUCCCAGGAUGUUUCUUGUCCUGGAGAAUCACAGCAUCACCAGAUCCUUGAGGUCUCAGUUGUGACUGGAGGCCAGAAUGGAAUUAUGUCUCAGAAUUCCAUAGCUGGGCUGUAGGCAGCAGAACUAAGCUAGCCAAAUGAUUUUUCCUCAAAAUUAUGUAGCAUUGCUCCCAACAGGUUUUGACCAUUUUAGUUCUAAAAAACAACUGUCUUCAGACUGUUUCAGCUUUGGAAUCAGAAGCACCCAGACCUUUUAAGUUAUGUAUAUUCUUAGAGCAUCAUAUCUCUGGCUUCCAAAUCUAUCAGUUAGAACACCAAGUAUUGCCAGAAAAUUUUCUUUCUGUAUAGUCUUAUGCAUACCUGACUCUCUUCUUUCUCUUCCUUUUAACAGAACAGAAAGAUCCUAAAGAACAUAGAACUACAGCAUAUAGGCAUUACUUAUGACCUCACUUUUCUACUGGGAUGUGGUUACCAGGCUACCACAUCAGAAGCUUGGCAACAGGGCAAGACAGAGCAAGGAAGGCUGGGAGUUCAGGAUGACUCUCACAUCUGUGAAGGCUAGCAGCCCAACCGGAAAUAGAAGCUAUCCUGUUUCACAGACAGGAGUACAUGGCCACACACUGAAGGAGUACACAGAAUAGAGCAAUCCCAGCUUCCACGCUGAUGCCUCUCUGAUACUCAGAUAUGACACAUUAUCGCCCUAUUUUCCAUCUACCCGGGCUGCUUGAAAGACCUUCCUCUGUAGUGCAUUGUGCCAACAUCAACAGGACAUCAAAUUGUCCGCAUACACGUGCCAGAUCUGCCUUUACACUGCAAUUUCCUUGAGGUCUCCCAUGCACGGGCACUGCAGUACUGGACCUGCAAUCUCACUGAUAUUGGAGGGGUCCCAGAACCUGCAACCUGUUGAAUAGAGAAUGAAUGAACCAUCCAUGGCCGAUCCUCUCC